rnacentral:rRNA from 1 species
CGGACGGGUGAGUAACGCGUGGGUAACCUGCCUCAUACAGGGGGAUAACAGUUAGAAAUGACUGCUAAUACCGCAUAAGCGCACAAAACCGCAUGGUUUGGUGUGAAAAACUGAGGUGGUAUGAGAUGGACCCGCGUCUGAUUAGCUAGUUGGAGAGGUAACGGCUCACCAAGGCAACGAUCAGUAGCCGACCUGAGAGGGUGACCGGCCACAUUGGGACUGAGACGCGGCCCAAACUCCUACGGGAGGCAGCAG